CUUCAACCACAACUCAUGCUUCUUCCUUUAAACAAUCAAGAAGUUGAAAGCCAAGCAGCAUCAAGUCAAACAUCUGAGCAAUGCUUGUCUUACACUUGGAGAAGAGCUAUUUGGAAGGGACACCUGGUGACUGCAGUGGCCAUGGGGCCACCAGCCAGCCUGCUCUCCUGGGUGAUGCAGCCGACUGCAGCAGAACAACAUGAACGUGCUGUCAGAUGCCUUGCAUCUGUGUGCUCUCAUUCCUGCUGUAUUGUGCAACAAUUCCACUCCAGUCUCAGCUGAGGCUUCAAGUAGGAAUAGCCCAAAAUACCACAACAACAGCUGUUUUGUAGGAUUUUAUGGAGCUGAAACCCAGGAGUCCUGGAAAUCUUCAAAUAAAGCUUUUUCCCAUAAAAGAAA